rnacentral:rRNA from 1 species
GCAGUAGGGAAUAUUGGGCAAUGGGCGAGAGCCUGACCCAGCCAUGCCGCGUGCAGGAUGAAGGCUUUCUGAGUCGUAAACUGCUUUUGCCAGGGAAGAAAAAAGGGCGUGCGCGCUCUACUGACGGUACCUGGUGAAUAAGCACCGGCUAACUCCGUGCCAGCAGCCGCGGUAAUACGGAGGGUGCAAGCGUUGUCCGGAUUUAUUGGGUUUAAAGGGUGCGUAGGCGGCUGAUUAAGUCUGGGGUGAAAGCCCGUUGCUCAACAACGGAACUGCCCUGGAAACUGGUUAGCUUGAGUACAGACGAGGGUGGCGGAAUGGAUGCUGUAGCGGUGAAAUGCAUAGAUAGCAUCCAGAACCCCGAUUGCGAAGGCAGCUGCCUAGACUGUAACUGACGCUGAGGCACGAAAGCGUGGGGAGCGAACAGGAUUAGA